CAAUGACGACUCAUGUCAUGUGAUUUUGGGAGCAUAAAUAGUGGAUCAUAAUCAAUCUGUGAGACAGACUGCCUGAUAAUACAGUUUAUUUCAUCCAGGCUUUGAUCACCAGCACACUGCAGAAAUGUGUGAAUAUAGACAACGGAUCUGCCGUCAGCAUACUGCAGCAAUGCCAAUAUGUGGUGGCUUUACCCCAGAGGAGCCUGUCACUCCAGAGGAGGAGAAGAUCUGCCGUGAGGUGAAGUCAGACAUAGAGGAGAAGGCUGGAACCAAUUUUGAUGUUUACAUUCCUUUAAGCUUUGCUUCUCAGAUUGCGGAAGGGACAAACUAUCUGGCGAAGGUGUACGUUGGAGUGGAUAAGUGCAUUCAUGUGAUGAUAUUUCAAGCUCUCCCCUGCAAUGGAGGCGAAUUGACUGUGACUGGAGUCCAGCACCCUAAAACCGCCAGUGAACCUCUGAUCCCAUUUGAUGACUAACCACAUGCAGAAAACAGUCUGUCUUCUCUAAUAACAGACACACACAAUGAUCUGCCAUACUGUAUAGAGGAACUAUUGAAAACUGUUUCAUUCCUCAAUAUUAAACUCAAUAUUCAAACUCUCAGUGCCUGUGUCAGUGUGUUUAUCUGAAGAACACCAAAUUCACUUCACUUUACUAAAAAAUAUUGCUGAAAUAACUAAACAUAAUUAUUUGAAUUGUCAAUUUGAAAUCCAUUUUCCAAGUCAAAUGUGGGACAUUUAUUGUCUCGAAAGUUUGAGAAACGCUGCACUUGAAAAAGUGCAGAGAUAUUUGAGGUGUUUUGUUGAUGAUCGGGUAUGUGGAUAGCCAAUAUGAAAAUUCUAUCUUGUCACUAAUUCUCAAAACACUUAAAACAUAUUGUCUUGCACAUUUAUUUUAAAUAAUUAAAAUAAGUCUGAUGAAUUUUAUAUUAAUUUUAAUUGCUUGCAGACCACCACAGCUCUUGCACUGUGACUGGAUGGGGUUGUGCCAGGGUUACUCCAGCCAGGUUUUUGUUGCUGGUACAUUCUGCAGACUUCUUGGGCUUGUCUUUGCUACUCUGAGUACCGACUUUUUGGCAGUAGUCUUUUGCUCCCAUGCAGUACUUUUCCACCAUUGACCCGACCUUCACCAGCUACUCCACGGUGUUCUUCAAGCAGAGAGCCCAGUAGUCAUAGGCGAAGUCCAUCAGACGUUGUCGCGGCUGCUGGACCAAUGUCCUCAACUCCUCCUCCACUUCUGAGAGCUCUGAGCGGGUCCCUUCAGGACCGUGCUAGGGUUCUGAUGAGCUCGACGCUGGGAAGGGGCCUGAUCUCCAGGAAGUUUUCACACUGCUCGAUGAAGUUUAACACAUCUGCUGUCUCGCAGGAGUCGCGAAAGAGGGGAACUCAAGGCGGAUGGGAAGCCGAGCACAGAAUGAGGAUGAACCAGCCAUAACUGAGGAGAUACUGGCACUGGGGUCUGUGGAUAAUGGACAGCAGAAAUGUGGGAGGAAGCUGGGACUUCAAAAUAAU